rnacentral:rRNA from 1 species
CCUCUAGAUGUUCUGGGCCGCACGCGCGCUACACUGAACAGUUCAACAAGUCUUAACCUUGGCCGAUAGGUCUGGGUAAUCUUUGAACGCUGUUCGUGAUUGGGAUAGACCUUUGCAAUUAUGGGUCUUCAACGAGGAAUUCCUAGUAAACGCAAGUCAUCAGCUUGCAUUGAUUACGUCCCUGCCCUUUGUACACACCGCCCGUCGCACCUACCGAUUGAAUGGUCCGGUGAAAUCUCGGGACGGCGGCUUGGUCGCUUGCGUCCGACUGCUGAAACUUGAUUAAACCAUAUCAUUUAGAGGAAGGUGAANUCGUANCA